UACGGGGGGGGCAAGCGUUGUUCGGAAUUACUGGGCGUAAAGGGCUCGUAGGCGGCCAACUAAGUCGGAUGUGAAAUCCCCAGGCUUAACUUGGGAACUGCAUCCGAUACUGGAUGGCUUGAAUCCGGGAGAGGGAUGCGGAAUUCCAGGUGUAGCGGUGAAAUGCGUAGAUAUCAGGAGGAACACCGGUGGCGAAGGCGGGUCUCUGGGCCGAUACUGACGCUGAGGAGCGAAAGCGUGGGGAGCAAACAGG
rnacentral:rRNA from 1 species